rnacentral:rRNA from 1 species
UACGUAGGGUGCGAGCGUUAAUCGGAAUUACUGGGCGUAAAGGGCGCGUAGGCGGCCUGUUAAGUCGAACGUGAAAUCCCUGGGCUCAACCCAGGAACUGCGUCCGAUACUGGCAGGCUUGAAUUCGGGAGAGGGAUGCGGAAUUCCAGGUGUAGCGGUGAAAUGCGUAGAUAUCUGGAGGAACACCGGUGGCGAAGGCGGCAUCCUGGACCGAUAUUGACGCUGAGGCGCGAAAGCCAGGGGAGCAAACGGG